UGGGGAAUUUUGGACAAUGGGCGAAAGCCUGAUCCAGCAAUGCCGCGUGUGUGAAGAAGGCCUUCGGGUUGUAAAGCACUUUUGUCCGGAAAGAAAUCCUUGGCUCUAAUACAGUCGGGGGAUGACGGUACCGGAAGAAUAAGCACCGGCUAACUACGUGCCAGCAGCCGCGGUAAUACGUAGGGUGCAAGCGUUAAUCGGAAUUACUGGGCGUAAAGCGUGCGCAGGCGGUUUGCUAAGACCGAUGUGAAAUCCCCGGGCUCAACCUGGGGAACUGCAUUUGGGUGACUGGCAGGCUAGAGUAUGGCAGAGGGGGGUAGAAUUCCACGUGUAGCAGUGAAAUGCGUAGAGAUGUGGAGGAAUACCGAUGGCGAAGGCAGCCCCCUGGGCCAAUACUGACGCUCAUGCACGAAAGCGUGGGGAGCAAACAGGAUUAGAUACCCUGGUAGUCCACGCCCUAAACGAUGUCAACUAGUUGUUGGGGAUUCAUUUCCUUAGUAACGUAGCUAACGCGUGAAGUUGACCGCCUGGGGAGUACGGUCGCAAGAUU
rnacentral:rRNA from 1 species